rnacentral:rRNA from 1 species
AAGACCUUCUUUGAAGGUAUGCUUAAGGAGGGGCUUGCGACACAUUAGUUAGUUGGCAGGGUAAAGGCCUACCAAGACUAUGAUGUGUAGCUGGACUGAGAGGUUGAACAGCCACAUUGGGACUGAGACACGGCCCAAACUCCUACGGGAGGCAGCAGUAGGGAAUUUUCGGCAAUGGAGGAAACUCUGACCGAGCAACGCCGCGUGAACGAUGAAGUACCUCGGUAUGUAAAGUUCUUUUAUUAAGGAAGAAAAAAGAGUGGAAAAACUCCCUUGACGGUACUUAAUGAAUAAGCCCCGGCUAAUUAUGUGCCAGCAGCCGCGGUAAUACAUAAGGGGCGAGCGUUAUCCGGAAUUAUUGGGCGUAAAGGGUGCGUAGGCGGUUUAAUAAGUCUAUAGUUUAAUUUCAGCGCUUAACGCUGUUGUGCUAUAGAAACUGUUUUACUAGAGUGAGUUAGAGGCAAGCGGAAUUCCAUGUGUAGCGGUAAAAUGCGUAAAUAUAUGGAGGAACACCAGAGGCGUAGGCGGCUUGCUGGGACUUUACUGACGCUGAGGCACGAAAGCGUGGGGAGCAAACAGGAUUAGAUACCCUGGUAGUCCACGCCGUAAACGAUGAGUACUAAGUGUCGGGUAAAACCGGUACUGAAGUUAACACAUUAAGUACUCCGCCUGAGUAGUACGUACGCAAGUAUGAAACUUAAAGGAAUUGACGGGACUCCGCACAAGCGGUGGAUCAUGUUGUUUAAUUCGAAGAUACACGAAAAACCUUACCAGGUCUUGACAUUUUCUUGCGAAGUUAUAGAAAUAUAAUGGAGGUUAUCAGGAAAACAGGUGGUGCAUGGUUGUCGUCAGCUCGUGUCGUGAGAUGUUAGGUUAAGUCCUAAAACGAGCGCAACCCUUGUCGUUAAUUGCCAGCAUGUAAUGAUGGGGACUUUAACGAGACUGCCAAUGAAAAAUUGGAGGAAGGUGGGGAUUACGUCAAAUCAUCAUGCCCCUUAUGAUCUGGGCUACAAACGUGAUACAAUGGUUGAUACAAAGAGUAGCUGAAACGCGAGUUCUUAGCCAAUCUCACAAAAUCAAUCUCAGUUCGGAUUGAAGUCUGCAACUCGACUUCAUGAAGUUGGAAUCGCUAGUAAUCGCGAAUCAGCAUGUCGCGGUGAAUACGUUCUCGGGGUUUGUACACACCGCCCGUCAAACCACGAAAGUUGGCAAUACCCCAAAGCGGUCACCUAACUUCGCAAGAAG